GGUGCAGCGUCGUGCGUUCAACGAUGGGGGUAGAGCACUGAAUGGGCUAGGGGUCCUACAAGACUACCGACCCCAAUCAAACUCCGAAUACCAUCGUUCCAGAGCACGGCAGUGAGACCUCGGGGGAUGAGCUUCGGGGUCGAGAGGGAAACAGCCCAGACCGCCGGCUAAGGUCCCAAAAUCUGAACUAAGUGGUAAACGAUGUGAGAUUGCGAAGACAGCCAGGAGGUUGGCUUGGAAGCAGCCAUCCUUGAAAGAGUGCGUAACAGCUCACUGGUCGAGUGAUCUUGCGCGGACAAUGUAACGGGGCUCAAGUUCAGUACCGAAGCCGCGGAUGCGACUCUUUGAGUCGUGUGGUGGCGGAGCGUCGAGCGUGCAGCGAAGCGGCGGGACAACCCAGCCGUGGAGCGCGUUCGAGUGCGAAUGUUGACAUGAGUAGCGAAUGAGGGGUGAGAACCCCCUCCGCCGUAUGUCCAAGGGUUCCUGGGCGAGGCCAAUCCUCCCAGGGUGAGUCGGGAGCUAAGGCGAGGCCGAGAGGCGUAGUCGAUGCACAACUGGUUGAUAUUCCAGUACCACCAUGUUCGCGUCCGUUCCAAUACUCUGUUGCUAAGGGGCUGUGUUGACUUCGGUCAACGCGAACCGACCCACAUUGUUGCGGGAAGCUGUAGGGGGACGCAGGAAGGUAGAUGAACCCGGUGAAUGGUAGAACCGGGGUAAGCGUGUAGGAGGAGGACCAGGUAAAUCCGGGCCUCAUAAACUCUGAGACGUGAUACCGAGCCGCUUCAGGCGAAGUCAUUGAUCCUAUGCUGCCUAGAAAAGCCCAGCAGCGAGUUGACAUGGUGCCCGUACCCCAAACCAACACAGGUGGACAGGUAGAGCAUACCAAGGCGAGUGGGAUAACUAUGGUUAAGGAACUCGGCAAAUUGCCUCCGUAACUUCGGGAGAAGGAGGACCCCAGUAGCGUGAUGAGACUUGCUCUCUGAGCGUGAAGGGGUGGCACAAAAUUGAGGGAAGCGACUGUUUACCAAAAACACAGCAGCGUGCUAAGCCGUAAGGCGCUGUAUACGCUGUGACUCCUGCCCGGUGCUGGAAGGUUACGGGGAUGGGUUAGUCCUUCGGGACGAAGCUCUGAACCUAAGCCCCAGUAAACGGCGGCCGUAACUAUAACGGUCCUAAGGUAGCGAAAUUCCUUGUCGGGUAAGUUCCGACCUGCACGAAUGGAGUAACGACUUCCCUACUGUCUCAACCAUAGACCCAGCGAAAUUGAAGUACGAGUAAAGAUGCUCGUUAGCUGCAGAAGGACGGAAAGACCCCGUGGACCUUUACUAUAACUUGAUGUUGUGUUUUGUCU
rnacentral:rRNA from 1 species